CCUAGGGUCGAUGUCGAUGCACAAGGUGCCCCGGGGGCUGCCGCUGAUGCAAGAGGUGCCCUGGGGGCCGGUGCACGAGGUGCCCCAGUGGUCGGCACGCGAGAUGCCCCAGUCCAUGUGCGAAAGGGCCCUGGGGAUGUCCUCAUCAAGCUCCGUCAAAACACAAGAAUUAUGGUGAGUCCAAAGAACCCAAGAACCUGGUACAACCAGAGAAUCGAGACCUUUCUUUUGUCAUGCCGAAAGAAGUCCAUGAGAAGAUCCCAAAGACCAAUAUACCCCACUAGUACUCCAAUUGAUGAGGCUUCUCUUACAUCUGAAAUCCAGAGUUUUCAGUGAGAACGUACGUUUCUUGACAGUUUGCUUAGCUACCAAAGCUUGCAAUAUAGAUAUGUUUUGUUCACUAUUCAGUCUUUGGGGAGAUUUUGGUUUAAGUACACAAAUCUAGCUUGCACACUUGUACUCCC
rnacentral:misc_RNA from 1 species